AGAGUUUGUUCCUGGCUCAGAUUGAACGCUGGCGGCAUGCCUUACACAUGCAAGUCGAACGGUAGAGUAGCAAUACUUUGAGAGUGGCGAACGGGUGAGUAAUAUAUCGGAACGUGCCCCAGUCGUGGGGGAUAACGUAGAGAAAUUUACGCUAAUACCGCAUACGAUCUAAGGAUGAAAGCGGGGGAUCGCAAGACCUCGCGCGAUUGGAGCGGCUGAUAUCAGAUUAGGUUGUUGGUGAGGUAAAAGCUCACCAAGCCGACGAUCUGUAGCUGGUUUGAGAGAACGACCAGCCACACUGGGACUGAGACACGGCCCAGACUCCUACGGGAGGCAGCAGUGGGGAAUUUUGGACAAUGGGCGAAAGCCUGAUCCAGCAAUGCCGCGUGUGGGAAGAAGGCCUUCGGGUUGUAAACCACUUUUGUACGGAACGAAACGGUUCGCUUUAAUACAGUGGGCUAAUGACGGUACCGUAAGAAUAAGCACCGGCUAACUACGUGCCAGCAGCCGCGGUAAUACGUAGGGUGCGAGCGUUAAUCGGAAUUACUGGGCGUAAAGCGUGCGCAGGCGGUUAUAUAAGACAGUUGUGAAAUCCCCGGGCUCAACCUGGGAAUUGCAUCUGUGACUGUAUGGCUAGAGUACGGUAGAGGGGGAUG
rnacentral:rRNA from 1 species